GUGUGUGUGUGUGUGUCUCUGUGUGUCUCUGUGUGUGUGUGUGUGUGUAGUCGAGCCACCUGGCAGCGCAGCCAAAGGAAGACGACAUCCAGAGACAGCAGCAGACGCUGGCGCCCAGCAUUACCAGGCAGGGUGAGUGUUUGGAGGAGGAAGAGGAGGAGGAGGAAGAGGAGGAGGAAGUCAACAGUUCAGCCUCCCUAUACAAAGACUCUGCUGUACAGACAGCAGUAAACAAGGAAGUAGGCUGCUCUAGUACCGCUUUAGUACCACUUUAGGACCACUUUAGGACCGCUUUAGGACCACUUUAGGACCAGUUUAGGACCGCUUUAGGACCGCUUUAGGACCACUUUAGGACCGCUUUAGGACCGCUUUAGGACCACUUUAGGACCACUUUAGGACCAGCUUAGGACCAGUUUAGGACCGCUUUAGGACCAGUUUAGGACCACUUUAGGACCACUUUAGGACCACUUUAG